ensembl:lncRNA
ACAGUCUUUGCUUUUUACUGUUCAAACUCAUGUAUCUUGCACCAAAUCAUUUUCUAUUCCUUGUAGAAAAGAUCAUGUGAUCUUUCUCAACAGCUUUUUCAACAGAAAAAAGUGUUGUACAGGCGUCUUCAGUGUUUAGAAUGUAAAUAUGAUUCUGAUUCACUCAAUUUCUCUUCUGAACACAUAAAUGUCUUUUACGUAGCAUCUCAAUAAUAGGUGUAAAAAUGAACAGUUUCAUGUUUUCCAAAAUAUUUCAUCUUUCUCUUCAACAGUGAAGACUUACCUUUCACCCCAAGAGGGAAAAGUAAGCCUGUUACCCUCCAAGUACGUAAGUCAGCACAGAAGGUAUCUGCAGAAAAAGUUGAAUUCAAAGAUUUUCAGAUGUGCUACUUGGGGAGAGAUUGUAUAUGGUAGCUAGUGACACCACUGACAGUUCAACCUUCUAAAAAUAAUUUCCAGCACUUCUCUUAUCAAUGAUGCUGGUGAAGCUACCAUCUGAGUUCCAUCUGAGCUAAUGUGCAAAGAAAGAUUUCAGAAUGAUGUGCUUAAAUACAUAACAUCAUCUUGAAGCUGCAUGCCGAUGACCCCCAAUGCUCAAGAAAAUAUCAUAUAGCAUUGAAUGUGUUUUCGUUAUACUAAUUCUUUCUUGCCAGCUGUUUCUAAAGCACCUGCUAUGUGUUGUAGAGGUGUAGCUAAGCACUCAUCAUGUACAGUGAUAGAGGGGGUAACCUUCCAUGUUCUAAAAUGUUUGUUUCUUUUAUCCACCCAUUAUAUCAAUGGAGGCUCUGUUUUAACUAAAAUAAACAAAAUGACAAUAAACUAAUUUACAAUAAACCUACAGCAUAUAGGCCCUGGAAUAUCUUGUGAUCUCACACCUGUAAAUAAUAUUGUAUGUUUCACUAAAACAUUUGAAGAAGAAAAAUGUGAUCAGAUUAUCCUGUGUAACAAUGAAGAGUUGAAUACAAGCUAAAUAUUACAAAUGAAAGUGGAAACAUAUCAAUAAGAGUGAAUUAUAUAACUUUAGCAAUACUGGAGUGGAAGAAGUUCCUUCCCACUCCUACAUUCCAUCCAAAGAAGUUGAGAGUCUAUUGUACUUGCUAUUCUACAGAAGUCUAUUAAAACAUUUUACAAGGUUAAUGCAUGAUAAAAGAUUCAAGGAAAGAAUAGCAAAUAUAUAUAUAUCUAUAGUUUGGAGGAAGGGAUUUAAAAGAGUGAGAAUGUAUACUUUAUGCAAUGUAGAACAUGAGGUGUCUUUAUAUCAGACUUUUCAAGAACAUGAAAAAAAAAAAAGAAAAACUAGUACUUGUUUAACAUUAAGAUUCUGUGACACAGCAAGGGAAUGAAAUGUUAACAUACUGACUAUAUCCUUUACUUUUGUGAGUACAUAUUUAUGGAUAUCUGAAACCCUACCCCCAGUAAUUCACUUGCUUCGGUUUACAUAGGAAGUCCUGCUAGGGAACACCCAAAGGCAUUGUACAAAAUCAAUACAAGAACAAAUAUGUUUAAAUAUUCAUGAAUACAAAUGCUUAAUGGUACAUAGCCUCAGUUUGGUCUGAAAAUCAGACUAGGAUUCCAAGGAUUUAAUCUUUUUAUAUUCAAGAAUGCACCAAUUUCACAGUGAAGGGUUCAUUAGAAAUGCAUUAGAUUAGAUGAAUACAAAACUGCACAAAUAACUACAUGCUCUGCACCAUUUUGCUGUAUGGUGACAGAUGAGGAGUGAGAAAGGAAAGCUGUACAACUGCUUUGUAAGGCUCACAACAGUCUGAUGGUUGCAGUGGCUAUGAAACCUAGCUAACCUCAACUUGCUUUCCAUGGAGAAUAUGAGAAAGUACCAUGUUCUAGCAUGCACAUAUAACAUAUACAUUUCUCCAAAAGAAACCACAGAUUCAGCAGCAGUUCUUAUUGUAAAUACAUUUGUGUUACCUGGAUUUGUCAAGAACACAUUUCUUUUCAAAAUCUCUGUUUCCCGUAUUUCAUUCUUUUUGAGUCACUCAGCAAUGUGAUUUACCUGUGGAGUUAUUCCAAUGUACCCUUUUUGUAAAGGCUUGAAGUAUUUGAGACGCAGCUGAUGGUUAUAAAAUUACAGUCGUGUCAUAAGAUAAAGAAAAAUAUAAAUACAAAAAAUUCAGCUACAUGCAGUAUAUCACUGUAUACAUUAUGGGUGUGUAUGGAUGGGAGAGGUUUGCCUUAACUUUCUAUGUAUUAUAAUUCUUCUUACAUUGUUUACUGGUACUUACAACUCCACUCAAUAAUAAAAAAGGUAGAACUUAGGUUACCAAGGUUCUUUUAAGUUGUAUUGAAACAAGUGUGGAUUUCAGAACAAGUGGAGUGAAACUUUUGGAAACAAUGAAGACUAAUAAAUGUGGUUAUUUUGUUUCUUCAAAUAAAAGUUGAAAAA